rnacentral:piRNA from 1 species
UCUGCAUGCUGGAGGACUGGAAA